AUUGAACGCUGGCGGCAGGCCUAACACAUGCAAGUCGAGCGGAUGAAGGGAGCUUGCUCCUGGAUUCAGCGGCGGACGGGUGAGUAAUGCCUAGGAAUCUGCCUGGUAGUGGGGGAUAACGUCCGUAAACGGGCGCUAAUACCGCAUACGUCCUGAGGGAGAAAGUGGUGGAUCUUCGGACCUCACGCUAUCAGAUGAGCCUAGGUCGGAUUAGCUAGUUGGUGGGGUAAAGGCCUACCAAGGCGACGAUCCGUAACUGGUCUGAGAGGAUGAUCAGUCACACUGGAACUGAGACACGGUCCAGACUCCUACGGGAGGCAGCAGUGGGGAAUAUUGGACAAUGGGCGAAAGCCUGAUCCAGCCAUGCCGCGUGUGUGAAGAAGGUCUUCGGAUUGUAAAGCACUUUAAGUUGGGAGGAAGGGCAGUAAGUUAAUACCUUGCUGUUUUGACGUUACCAACAGAAUAAGCACCGGCUAACUUCGUG
rnacentral:rRNA from 1 species